GACGAACGCUGGCGGCGUGCUUAACACAUGCAAGUCGAACGGAAAGGCCCUGCUUUUGUGGGGUGCUCGAGUGGCGAACGGGUGAGUAACCCGUGAGUACCCUGCCCCUCCCUUUGGGAUAACUUCAGGAAACUGGGGCUCAUACCGGCUAGGAUCUCCUGCUGCAUGGUGGGGGUUGGAUAGUUUCGGCGGUUGGGGAUGUAAUCGCGGCUUAUCAGCUUGUUGGUUGGGUAGUGGCUGACCAAGGCUUUGACGGGUAGCCGGCCUGAGAGGGUGACCGGCCACAUGGCGACUGAGAUACGGCACAGACUCCAACGGGAGGCAGCGGUGGGGAGGGUAGCACAAUGGGCGGAAGCCAGAUGUAACAAAGCCGCGUGCGGGAUGACGUCCUGCGGGUUGUAAACCGCUGUCGCCUGAGACGAGGCGUGAGUGACGGUAAUGGGUAAAGAAGCACCGGCUAACUACGUG
rnacentral:rRNA from 1 species